AAGAUGGAGCUUUCUGAAACAUGCUGCCAAUCAAACCGAAAUUUACCCUCUUUCUAAAAUAAUGGCUUAUCCCAAACCUGUUUGUUAGCAAUGGUGGAUGUGGCCUCCAUCUGCAUGAAUUAUCCCCACCUCCACACCUCACUACCAAUAAGACAAUGAAAAGCGGCGUUCCAGGAAGAUUUUGCCUUUUGAUCUCCUUUCUGAUCUAAUGUAAUUGUCCACUGGCAGAAGCGCUGUGAGGUGCAGAAUAAAGUAAUGAAGUUAAUCUGA